UUCAGGCCUCUCCCAUUUUCUGGGAUGCAGGAGCCCAAGUCAGGCCAAGUAUCUGCUGCCUUUUCCUCCCAGAGCCUCUCACCUUGAUGGUGAAACCCUUCUUGCUCAGCUCAUCCAGGAACUUCUUUCUCUUGAUCUCCUUCUCACUGCCCAUUUCGUGGAUGUCACUCACCAGGACAAAAUCCCACUUCUCUUCAUUCUGCCCACAAAACCAGCAGGGAAUUAUUAGGAAUGGAAAGCUGAGAGCUCUCCUUUCCAGCUCCAGCUUCUCAGAGGUUUGGACCCCAUUGUGGCUGUGUAGAGGGGAGUUGGGAAUGAGCAGGGGAAAUGGGGAUUUGUCCCCUCUCUGAGCUGCAGAUGCAGAAGGAGCAGAGCUUACCGGGGAGGCAAAGGAGUCUGUGUCCUCAGCAGGGGAUUCCCUGCAGGGAGUCAGCAGAAUUUCAUCCUGGUGAAAAGAAAACCAGUGAAGAGGAGGCCUCAGCAGGCUCCCUGGGAGAUCCUGUGUUUUCCUCUUCCAGCAGCCUCCAAGAGGUGCCCAGGGAGGAAGGAAAGCAGGUGAAAAAAUUCCUUGGAAAAUAUGUUGGAUGCCUCAGGCUGCAGCCAAGGGACAGAGAGGGGAGGAUGAGCUGCUGAUCAUAAAAUCAUAGAACAUCCCAAGUUGGAAGGGACUCACAAGGAUAAUUGAAUCCAGCUCCUGGACCUGCACAGGACCACCCCAAGCAUCCAUGUCCCUAGGAGUGUUGUCCAAGCACUGCUUGAACUCUGGCUUUUGCCUGUUCCCCUCCUGUGUGUCAGUGGCUCUGGAGAGAGCAGCUGUGCAGCUCCCACCUUCCUGGGUACAGGUAAUUACACUCAGACACCCAAGGGUGCAGAUGUGGGGGACUGUGACAGUGUUCAUGGGGUUCUUAGGAUGAGGGAAGAGAUGAGAAUCUGACUCCAUGUUUCAGAAGGCUUGAUUUAUUAUUCUAUGAUGUAUAUUAUAUUAAAACUAUACUAAAAUAAUAGAAGAAAGGAUUUCAUCAGAAGGCUAGCUAAGAAUAGAAUAAGAAAGAAUUAAUAACAAAGGUUUGUGUCUUGGACAGAGUCCAAACCAGCUGUCUGUGAUUGGCCAUUAAUUAGAAACAACUCUGUGAGACCAAUCACAGAUGCACCUGUUGCAUUCCACAGCAGCAGAUAACCAUUGUUUACAUUUUGUUCCUGGGGCCGCUCACCUUCUCAGGAGAAAAAAUCAUAUGGAAAGGACUUUUCAUAAAAGAUGUCUGUGACAGGGGAGCACAAAGCAAAUAUCAGGGAAUGGUUUGUGUUGGAAAGGACCUUCACACCCAUCCACUCC
rnacentral:lncRNA from 1 species